CAAACAAGUAUCCUCGAUAAGAAAUGAGAAGCACUGGGACAAGAGAGUCAAUAAGUUCGAUUAUCUUGAUGGAGUAGCUUGGGAGUGUUUCAACUAGUAUUUUGAAGAAUGAAGACGAUUUCUGGACGCCGAAGAUAACCACGUCAAUGUCCGACUCUUCAUCGAACGACCCAAGACGCUGUGAGCCGAUGAUGUAAGAUCUAACACCACU
rnacentral:rRNA from 14 species